GCUUACGGCCAUACCAGCCUGUCUGCGUCUGAUCUCGUCUGUUCUCGGGAGCUAAUCAGGCUCGGGCCUGGUUAGUACUUGGAUGGGAGACCUCCUGGGAAUACCAAGUGCUGUAAGCU
rnacentral:rRNA from 1 species